rnacentral:rRNA from 1 species
UCUGCUGGAUCAUUACUU